rnacentral:tRNA from 1 species
UCCCGGUUGGUGUAGUAGGCAGCAUGGCGGUCUUUGAAUCCGUCGGCCCAGGUUCGAGCCCUGGACCGGGAGCCA